rnacentral:rRNA from 1 species
UAAUACGUAGGGGGCGAGCGUUGUCCGGAGUUACUGGGCGUAAAGAGCGUGUAGGCGGUUGAAAAAGUCAGGUGUGAAAUUCUUCGGCUCAACCGAGGGACUGCGCCUGAAACUUUUCGACUGGAGUUCGGGAGGGGCAACUGGAAUUCCUGGUGUAACGGUGAAAUGUGUAGAUAUCAGGAGGAACACCCGUGGCGAAGGCGGGUUGCUGGACCGAAACUGACGCUGAGACGCGAAAGCGUGGGUAGCAAACAGGAUUAGAUACCCUGGUAGUCCACGCUGUAAACGAUGAGUGCUAGGUGUAGGGGGUAUCGACUCCUUCUGUGCCGCAGUUAACGCAUUAAGCACUCCGCCUGGGGAGUACGGCCGCAAGGUUAAAACUCAAAGGAAUUGACGG